rnacentral:rRNA from 1 species
UACGGAGGGGAGCUAGCGUUGUUCGGAAUUACUGGGCGUAAAGCGCACGUAGGCGGCGAUUCAAGUCAGAGGUGAAAGCCCGGGGCUCAACCCCGGAACUGCCUUUGAAACUAGAUUGCUAGAAUCCUGGAGAGGUUAGUGGAAUUCCGAGUGUAGAGGUGAAAUUCGUAGAUAUUCGGAAGAACACCAGUGGCGAAGGCGACUAACUGGACAGGUAUUGACGCUGAGGUGCGAAAAGCGUGGGGAGCAAACAGG